CAGUUGAGAGCUCAGUUGGUUAGAGCACUGCACCGGCAUCGCAGAGGUCAUGGGUUUGAAUCCCGUUGAGUCAACUGA
rnacentral:tRNA from 1 species